rnacentral:rRNA from 1 species
UCAAGCUACAAAGGGCGCAUGGUGAAUGCCUUGGCAUCAGGAGCCGAAGAAGGACGUGAUAAGCUGCGAUAAGCUUCGGGUAGGCGCAAAUAGCCUGAGAUCCGGAGAUUUCCGAAUGAGGGAACUCACAUGGGAAACCCCAUGUAUCCUUAAGUGAAUACAUAGCUUAAGGAGGGUAAACCCAGGGAACUGAAACAUCUAAGUACCUGGAGGAAGAGAAAGAAAAAUCGAUUCUCUGAGUAGCGGCGAGCGAAAGGGGAAGAGCCCAAACCAGAAACUUGUUUCUGGGGUUGCGGACAGAACAUUAAAUCGAAACAAUCAUUAACCGAACAAUACUGGAAAGUAUGACCGUAGGAGGUAAUAGUCCUGUAGGUAAAAGUGAAUGUAAGAGAGUUCUGAUCCAGAGUACCACGAGACACGUGAAACCUUGUGGGAAGCAGGGAGGACCACCUCCCAAGGCUAAAUACUACCUGAUGACCGAUAGUGAAGCAGUACCGUGAGGGAAAGGUGAAAAGAACCCCGGGAGGGGAGUGAAAUAGAACCUGAAACCGUGUGCCUACAACCGAUCAAAGCACCAUAUGAGUGUGAUGAUGUGCUUUUUGUAGAACGAGCCAACGAGUUAUUGGUCUUAUGUCAAUAUUUUGGACACAAAAAGUCAAACUUUUUCAUGCUGCACUUCUAGCUAAUAAUUCACAUUGAUCUGGAGUCAUGUAAUUAAUAGAAGAGUGUAUCCUUUUUCUGUUAUACCAACCUUCAAUAUAUUUAAAUAUAGCUAUAUUAGCUUCUUCGAAGGUACGGUAUGUAUUUCUAUAUAUUUCUUCCUUCUUUAUUGAAGAAUGGAAAGAUUCUAUACAAGCAUUGUCAUAUGGGCAUCCUUUUUUACUAAAUGAUUGUGUAAUAUUAAAUUCUUUACACAGUUCUUUUAAAUCAUUACUAGUGUAUUGGGAGCCUAAGUCACUAUGGAAUAUUAGCUGCUUAUUCUUAUCAGGACUUUGGCAGUAAUAAGCAUUUUUUAAAGCUUUAGAAACUAAAUCAUUGGUCAUCCUUUUACCGAAAGCGUAGCCAAUGAUUUUUCUAGAGUGUAAAUCAAGAACUGACGCUAAAUAGCACCAACCAUCUGUUAUAGUAUGAAUAUAUGUAAUAUCUCCUACCCAUUUUUCAUUAAUAGAAAUAGUUGUAAAAUCUCUUUUUAAAACGUUUUCUAAACCUUCUGCUACCUUUUUAUCUGAAUGAGGCUUGUAUUUUUUUACAGUUAUUGCACAAAGGCCAAGUUCAGUCAUUCUUCUUUGAACUCUUUUUAAGGAGAUAUCAAAGCCUUCAGUACCAAGUAUAUGAUGAAUCCUAGGAGCUCCAUAUAUACCUUUAUUAGCUUUAUAUAUCCUUAUAAUAGCUGUUUUUAACUCCUCAUUUUCUACUUCUCUUGCAGAUUUAGUUUUAUCAAAAAAUUUAUAAUAUGUGCUCCUGGCUACGCCUAGAACGGUACACAUAGUCUUAAUAUCAUGGUUGUUUUUAUUACUAUCUAUAAAUUCUAUUACGUGGUCUAAUUUCUUGUUGCAAAUAUGGCCAUAGCUUUUUUUAAUAUUUCAUUUUCCUCUUUAAUCUUUGCCAUUUCUUUCUUUAAAGCUUUAACUUCCUUCAAAGUCAUAACUUCAUUUUCAUCCACUUUAAUUUCCUUUAUAUCUUUGAUCCAGCCGUUAAUUGUUGAUUUUGCAAUGCCAUAUUCGCUACUUAGCUCAGCCAAGCUCAUUCCUGACUUAAAUAAGUCUACUAUCAUGUCUUUAUAUUCUUGAUCAUAUCUUCUGCCCUUACUCAUAAUGGACACAUCCUUUCUUAACUAAAUAUUAUUUUACUUAGUUCGACUUAAUGUGUCCACUACUUUAUACUAACACCAUAUGGUAUGUAGCGAGGUUAAGUACUUAAGGUACGGAGCCGAAGGGAAACCGAGUCUGAAUAGGGCGACUAGUUGCAUGCUGUAGACCCGAAACCGGGUGACCUAUCCAUGGCCAGGUUGAAGCGAGAGUAAAAUCUCGUGGAGGACCGAACCACGUUGGUGUUGAAAAACCAUGGGAUGAGCUGUGGAUAGCGGAGAAAUUCCAAUCGAACUCGGAGAUAGCUGGUUCUCCUCGAAAUAGCUUUAGGGCUAGCGUCGGAUAUGAGUAAUGGAGGUAGAGCACUGAAUGGGCUAGGGGGCAUAGCGCUUACCGAACCUUAUCAAACUCCGAAUGCCAUAUACUAUUAAGUCCGGCAGUCAGACUGCGAAUGAUAAGAUCCGUGGUCAAAAGGGAAACAGCCCAGAUCGUCAGCUAAGGUCCCAAAGUGUAAGUUAAGUGGAAAAGGAUGUGGGAUUUCUAAGACAACUAGGAUGUUGGCUUAGAAGCAGCCACUCAUUUAAAGAGUGCGUAAUAGCUCACUAGUCGAGAGAUUCUGCGCCGAAAAUGUUCGGGGCUCAAACUUACCACCGAAGCUACGGGCUUAAGUUAAACUUAAGCGGUAGAGGAGCGUCGUAAUCGGGCUGAAGUCGUACCGGAAGGAGCGGUGGACUGAUUACGAGUGAGAAUGUUGGCAUUAGUAGCGAGAUGUGAGUGAGAAUCUCACAGGCCGAAAACCUAAGGUUUCCUCAGGAAGGCUCGUCCGCUGAGGGUUAGUCGGGACCUAAGCCGAGGCCGAAAGGCGUAGGUGAUGGACAAUCGGUUGAUAUUCCGAUACCACUAUUAAUCGUUAAAACCGAAGGCGUAACGCAGGAGGAUAGGAUGUGCUAGCUAUUGGAUGCUAGUCUAAGCACUUAGGGAGUUCAGCAAGGCAAAUCCGGCUGAACAAUUCUGAGGUGUGAUGGGGAAGGAACUACGGUUCCGAAGUAUCUGAUUCCACGCUGCCAAGAAAAGCGUCUAGGGAGAGAGGUAGUGCCCGUACCGCAAACCGACACAGGUAGGUGAGGAGAGAAUCCUAAGGCCAGCGGAAGAAUCACAGUUAAGGAACUCGGCAAAUUGACCCCGUAACUUAGGGAGAAGGGGUGCCUACGCAAGUAGGCCGCAGAGAAUAGGCCCAAGCAACUGUUUAGCAAAAACACAGGUCUCUGCUAAAGCGAAAGCUGAUGUAUAGGGGCUGACGCCUGCCCGGUGCUGGAAGGUUAAGGGGAAUACUUAGCGCAAGCGAAGGUAUGAACUUAAGCCCCAGUAAACGGCGGCCGUAACUAUAACGGUCCUAAGGUAGCGAAAUUCCUUGUCAGGUAAGUUCUGACCCGCACGAAUGGCGUAAUGACUUGGGCACUGUCUCAACUGUGAAUCCGGCGAAGUUGUAGUACGAGUGAAGAUGCUCGUUACCCGCGAUUGGACGGAAAGACCCCGUAGAGCUUUACUGUAGCUUAGCAUUGAAUUUCGGUAUUGUCUGUACAGGAUAGGUGGGAGACUAGGAAGUCAGGGCGUCAGCCUUGAUGGAGUCAUCCUUGGGAUACCACCCUGACAGUACUGAGGUUCUAACUGGAUGCCAUGAAACUGGUGACAGGACAUUGUUAGGUGGGCAGUUUGACUGGGGCGGUCGCCUCCUAAAAAGUAACGGAGGCGCCCAAAGGUUCCCUCAGAACGGUCGGAAAUCGUUCGAAGAGUGCAAAGGCAGAAGGGAGCCUGACUGCGACACCCACAAGUGGAGCAGGGACGAAAGUCGGGCUUAGUGAUCCGGUGGUACCUCGUGGGAGGGCCAUCGCUCAACGGAUAAAAGCUACCUCGGGGAUAACAGGCUGAUCUCCCCCAAGAGUCCACAUCGACGGGGAGGUUUGGCACCUCGAUGUCGGCUCGUCGCAUCCUGGGGCUGAAGUAGGUCCCAAGGGUUGGGCUGUUCGCCCAUUAAAGCGGCACGCGAGCUGGGUUCAGAACGUCGUGAGACAGUUCGGUCCCUAUCCGUCGCGGGCGUAGGAAAUUUGAGAGGAGCUGUCCUUAGUACGAGAGGACCGGGAUGGACUGACCUCUGGUGUACCAGUUGUUCCGCCAGGAGCACAGCUGGGUAGCUAUGUCGGAAGAGAUAAACGCUGAAAGCAUCUAAGCGUGAAGCUCACCUCAAGAUUAGAUUUCCCAUAGCGUAAGCUAUAAGAUCCCUUGAAGAACACAAGGUUGAUAGGUCAGAGAUGUAAGCAUGGUAACAUGUUCAGUUGACUGAUACUAAUAGAUCGAGGGCUUGACCAA